AUUAGAUACCCUGUUAUUUUAGAGCCUUAUAUUGUAAGUAUAUAAAAAAUAUGAAAACAAAAAAUUAUGGCGGUGCUUUGAACUUUUCAGAGGAAUUUGCUCUUUAAUGGAUAAAACACCGCAACCUUACUAAAAUUAGCAAUAUCAGUUUGUAUACCACUAUAAAAAUAAUAAUUAGUUAUUAUUAUUAGAAUUUUUAUUUAAAAAAUAAAUUAAGUCAUGGUGCAGCAAAAAUUUUAGAAUGAAGUGAAUUACAUUAUUUUUCAAUUUACGUAAAUUGAAAAAUAAAAUAGGAUUUGAAAAUAAAAAUAGAAUAUAAUGAUAUUUUGAAAUAAGUUCUAAAGCAUGUACACAUCGCCCGUC
rnacentral:rRNA from 1 species